rnacentral:snRNA from 1 species
AGCUUUGCACAGUGGCUGGCAGUAUGGUAGCCAAUGAGGUUUAGCCAAGGCAUAAUUAUUGCUAAUUGAAAACUUCUCCCAACACAAAUACCACACCAUGACGACUUGAAAUAUAGUUGGCAUUGGCAAUUUUUGACAGUCUGUACAGA